rnacentral:rRNA from 1 species
GACGAACGCUAGCUACAGGCUUAACACAUGCAAGUCGAGGGGCAGCACAGUGUAGCAAUACAUGGGUGGCGACCGGCGCACGGGUGCGUAACGCGUAUCCAACCUUCCCGUUACUCUUGGAUAGCCUUCCGAAAGGGAGAUUAAUACAAGAUGGUAUUCAAAUUCCGCAUGUUAUUUGAAUUAAAGAUUUAUCGGUAACGGAUGGGGAUGCGUGACAUUAGAUAGUAGGCGGGGUAACGGCCCACCUAGUCUACGAUGUCUAGGGGUUCUGAGAGGAAGGUCCCCCACACUGGAACUGAGACACGGUCCAGACUCCUACGGGAGGCAGCAGUGAGGAAUAUUGGUCAAUGGAGGCAACUCUGAACCAGCCAAGUAGCGUGCAGGAUGACGGCCCUAUGGGUUGUAAACUGCUUUUAUGCGGGGAUAAAUGAUCCUACGUGUAGGUUUUUGCAGGUACCGCAUGAAUAAGGACCGGCUAAUUCCGUG